rnacentral:tRNA from 1 species
UCUAAUAUGGCAGAAUUAAUGCAAUGAACUUAAGAUUCAUAAAUAAAGUCAAUCUUUUAUUAGAA